UUUGGAGAUGGCAUGGAGAAGAAGAGCUUUCCUUUUGGAAUGUCGGCUGUGGAGGAAGUGCUCAUUUUCUCUUCCCUGUGAAUGGAGGUUGGAACCCGAGGCCCUCAGCUCCAGGAAGCAUCUACGGUGGCCUCUGUGGAGUCUCCCGGGAGCUGCGCUGUGGAAACCCCGUGUUUCCUUUAAGGGGGGACUGCUCUGUGCUGAUGCUUUCACACACCCAGGCUCUUAUUUUGCUUUCAUUCUUUAAAUUUUAGAGUGAAAUAACCACAGUACAAAUGCUACCAUGUUAACUUUUUAAAAUUCAGUUAUUCAUUAGGUGUUUGGUGGUUUGGGGCUUUGUUUUAUUUUGAGACAAGAGCUCACAUUACUCAGGCUUUGAACUCCAAAUUGUCUUAACCCCCCAGUGUUGUACACACCAUGCCUGGCGUAACCACUUUUGAGUGCGCAGUCUCUGCAGCCUCAUGUUCAUCCAUUGGGAACUGAGACUACCC
rnacentral:lncRNA from 1 species